rnacentral:tRNA from 1 species
GGAGAGAUGGCUCAGCAGUUCAGAGCACUGGCUGUUCUUCCAGAGGACCUGGGUUCAAUUCCCAGCACCCUCA